rnacentral:rRNA from 1 species
GUGCUUAAAAUGGCCCUGUGUGGCAAUGCACUGAAUAUAAGCAUCUCGCUAAGCAGAGUUAAAGAAACCAACCAGGAUUCCCUGAGUAACGGCAAGUGAAGAGGGAAGAAGCCAGCGCUGAAUCCACAUCUAGUGGAAAAUGGAGGAAAUGUGGCAUACAGAAGGCUGCCUCCCCAGCAUCACUCAGGGGCUCAAGUCCUUCUGUUUGGUGUCCACCACACCGAUGGUGUUAGGUUGUUUAGCAGCCCUGGCACGCCAGGUGCAGGUCUCCUCUGAGAGGCGUACUUGGGAAUGCAGCACAAAGCGGGUGGCAAACUCCAUCUAAGGCUAUGCAUGGGUGUGAGACCAAUAGCCAACAAGUACACUAAGGGGAAGUUCAAAAAUACUUUGAAGAGAGAGUUCAUGAAGGUGUCUAACCAUCAAUAGUUGAACUGAAGGGGUCCAGGCAGUCCUUCCAGAGGAUUCAACAUAGUCUGCAGGUUGGUCACCCAGAACAUUGGAUCUCCUUGUGGGACCACCACCUAGCACAUCUGGCCACUGCAGGAUACAUUUCCUCCAUGGUAGUGUACCCCGACUGGUUCCAGGUCAGCUGGGUAUUCCCUGGGGCGGAGGUGGCUUUCCACCCCCAGUGGAGAGUGUAACAGACCCCUGGUUGCAGUUGUGCCAUGUCCAUGGGGCUGAUAGAGAUUGACCACUGGCAUGCCCUCCUCUGGGAACAGUCCCAGCCCUCUCUGGGGUCACUGUGGCAGAGACAGUAGACGGGGCCACCAGCACCCGGUGCGAUUGUUGACUGGGGUGGACUGUCCUCAUUGUACCCCGACCAUGUAGCACAACCAGGCGGGGAGGCCACAAAGGGGUCAGGGGUCUGCAGUGAUGUUGGCUUCCCACAUGACCCAUCUUGGAAAAUAGACCGCAUGUGCGAGUUGGAGAGGCAAACAGCAUCCGGUGGCACAAUGAAGGUGAGGACAGCGCAUACCGGCUGAUGUGGUCUCCUGUUGUGCUGUGCACAUCACUAGCACCUCUCUUCUGCUCUGUCCGGGAGGUGGGGCAUGUGCAUGGGUGAUAUGAGCCAAAUAAUUUUGAACUAUGCCUCGGCAUGACAAUGCCAGAUUGUACUCUGCUAAAUGUCUGUAUCAGUCCUGAUGUGCAAAUCAGUCAUUCAACAUUGGUAUAGCAGCAGAAGACUAAUUGAACCAUCUAGUAGUUGGUUCCUUCCAAAGUUUCCCUCAGGAUAGAUGGCGCUUCGAUACCCCACUUUUAUCUGGUGAAUGAAAUGAAUAGCGGUCUUGGGGCCAAAACAAUCUCAACCAUUCUCAAACUUUAUAUGGGUGUGGAGGCCCGAUCACUAUCAUGAAGCCUGGCAUCGGAAGCCAGUCCCCAGUGUGCCACUUUUGGUACACAGUACUGGUGCUGCAGGAUGAACCGAAUGCCAGGUGGCACACAAUGCUGACGCUCGUCAGGCCCCUGAAAAGGUGUUGGUUGGUAUAAACAGCUGAACGGAGUCCCUGGAAGUCCAAGUUUUCUAAGGAGUGUGUAACAUCUCACCUGCUGAAGCAACUAGGCCUUGCAAUGUAAAGAGCUGGAUCAUCGGGCCCAUACCCAGGGGCUGUGAGUGGUGAGAGCCACAGGGGCUAAGCCACUACGAGUAGGAGGGAUACUUCGGUGUGCAUGGUAGCUGGGGGCGAGUGCCUGGGGGGUGGUGCCACAGGUGAAAACCUUGGAGAUAGUAGCAAAUAUUCAAAUAUGAACUUUGAAGGCCAUCUUGCCCUCAGCUGAUUGAAAGUGAGUGAGGUUCAGAUCACCAAACCCAGAAUGGCGUAGACGAGCACCCUUGCAGCAUCCAUUGCAGUGCACACUGGAAUGGGUUUUCCCUGAGAGAGGCGCCCAAGCCUUGGAAAGUAUUGUGUUAUUUGCAGUGUGCGGUGAGCUCUUACUGGUCCUUGUUAAUCCAAGUGAUAUAGUGUGAAUCUCACUCCGGCCUGUACUCAUGUCGGCAUCAAGGCUCUAAGGUGAACCAACUCUGGCAUGUUGGAAUAAUGUAGCUAAUGAUAGUCAGCAAGUCAGAUCCGUAACUUCUGGAUGGGAAUUGGCUAUAAGGGAUGCAUCGGUCAGGCUGGUGCACAUAGUGGUGCUAGCCAUGCGUCAUGGCUGGAUGAGGAAUCUCCAUCCCGGGGGCCCAGCCUACUCUGGAAGUGAGCCAGGCCCUUUCUAUAGAUCAUCCCAGCUGGAGUGGUAUCGUCUCUCAGUUCUCCUCCGGGGUUUCGGGGCAUGCAUUGUUCCUCAGUCGAUGCCUAGUAGCUGACUUAGUACUGUUGUGGACCAGGGCAAUCCAACAGUUUAAUUGAAACAAGGAAUCACAAAGGCCCGCGUUGGGUGUUGGUGCAAUGUGAUUUCUGCCCAGUGCUUUGAAUGUCAAAGUGGUGAAAUUCAAUGAAGCAUGGGCAACUGGCAGGAGUAACUGCAACUCUCUUAAGGUGGUCAAAUGCCACAUCAUCUCAUUGGUGGCACGCAUGAAUGGUGGAUGAAUGGCAUUCCCACUGUCCCUCCCUACUAUGUAGUGAACCACAGCCAAGGGAACAGACUUGGCAGAAUAAACAUGGAUAGGAGACCCUGUUGAGAUUGACUCUAAUCUGACAUUGGGAAGAGACAUGAGAGAUGUGCAAUAGGUGCGACCCACUCUGGGGACAUUGGCAGGUGGGGAGCUUGACUGGGGCAGUACACAUGUACUACAACAAUGCAUGUGUCCUAAGGCAAGCCCAGGGAGGACAUAAACAUCCUGUGGAGACAAUGGACAAAAGCUUGCUGGAUCUCAAUUCUACAUAUGAAGAGUAAUCAGGCGUCAGGAUCCUUCUGACUCUUUUUGUUUCAAGCAGGAAGCGUCAGUAAAUGAACACAGGGAUAACUGUCUCGUGGCGGCAAAGCAUUCAUAGCGACUUCACAUUUUGCUUCUUACAUAUUAGGCCUUCCUAUCAUUGUGAAGUAGAAUUCAUCAAAUGUUAGAUUUUUCACCCUCUGAUAGGAAACAUGAUCUGGAUUUAGACCAUUGUGUGACAGAUUAGUUUUACCCUAUUGAUGAUGUGUUGUAAUAGUAAUCUUGCUGAGUAUGAGAGGAACCACAGGUUCAGAAAUUUGGUGUAUGUUUGCCCAGGACUCAAGGGUGUACAGAAGGGGCAUCCUCUAACACCCAUAGUACACCACAUGUGUGGCUCAUAAUAAUUUGU